rnacentral:misc_RNA from 1 species
CAGAGUUCAUGCCCCUCGGGGCAGACCUCCCACCCUUUGUAUACAUUGCCUCUUGUUGCUUUGGCGGGCCGCCUUUCGGCCGUCGGCCCUGGCCGGCGCGCGCCCGCCAGAGACCCCCCAACCCUGUUUUACAGUGUCGUCCGAGUACUAUAUAAUAGUUA